AUUGAACGCUGGCGGCAGGCCUAACACAUGCAAGUCGAACGGUAGCACAGAGAGCUUGCUCUCGGGUGACGAGUGGCGGACGGGUGAGUAAUGUCUGGGAAACUGCCCGAUGGAGGGGGAUAACUACUGGAAACGGUAGCUAAUACCGCAUAACGUCGCAAGACCAAAGAGGGGGACCUUCGGGCCUCUUGCCAUCGGAUGUGCCCAGAUGGGAUUAGCUUGUAGGUGAGGUAACGGCUCACCUAGGCGACGAUCCCUAGCUGGUCUGAGAGGAUGACCAGCCACACUGGAACUGAGACACGGUCCAGACUCCUACGGGAGGCAGCAGUGGGGAAUAUUGCACAAUGGGCGCAAGCCUGAUGCAGCCAUGCCGCGUGUAUGAAGAAGGCCUUCGGGUUGUAAAGUACUUUCAGCGGGGAGGAAGGGAGUGAGGUUAAUAACCUCAUUCAUUGACGUUACCCGCAGAAGAAGCACCGGCUAACUCCGUGCCAGCAGCCGCGGUAAUACGGAGGGUGCGAGCGUUAAUCGGAAUUACUGGGCGUAAAGCGCACGCAGGCGGUCUGUCAAGUCGGAUGUGAAAUCCCCGGGCUCAACCUGGGAACUGCAUUCGAAACUGGCAGGCUGGAGUCUUGUAGAGGGGGGUAGAAUUCCAGGUGUAGCGGUGAAAUGCGUAGAGAUCUGGAGGAAUACCGGUGGCGAAGGCGGCCCCCUGGACAAAGACUGACGCUCAGGUGCGAAAGCGUGGGGAGCAAACAGGAUUAGAUACCCUGGUAGUCCACGCUGUAAACGAUGUCGACUUGGAGGUUGUUCCCUUGAGGAGUGGCUUCCGGAGCUAACGCGUUAAGUCGACCGCCUGGGGAGUACGGCCGCAAGGUUAAAACUCAAAUGAAUUGACGGGGGCCCGCACAAGCGGUGGAGCAUGUGGUUUAAUUCGAUGCAACGCGAAGAACCUUACCUACUCUUGACAUCCAGAGAACUUAGCAGAGAUGCUUUGGUGCCUUCGGGAACUCUGAGACAGGUGCUGCAUGGCUGUCGUCAGCUCGUGUUGUGAAAUGUUGGGUUAAGUCCCGCAACGAGCGCAACCCUUAUCCUUUGUUGCCAGCGAUUCGGUCGGGAACUCAAAGGAGACUGCCAGUGAUAAACUGGAGGAAGGUGGGGAUGACGUCAAGCCAUCAUGGCCCUUACGAGUAGGGCUACACACGUGCUACAAUGGCAUAUACAAAGAGAAGCGACCUCGCGAGAGCAAGCGGACCUCAUAAAGUAUGUCGUAGUCCGGAUUGGAGUCUGCAACUCGACUCCAUGAAGUCGGAAUCGCUAGUAAUCGUGGAUCAGAAUGCCACGGUGAAUACGUUCCCGGGCCU
rnacentral:rRNA from 1 species